rnacentral:rRNA from 1 species
GACGAACGCUGGCGGCGUGCCUAAUACAUGCAAGUUGAGCGAUGAAGAUUGGCGCUUGCACCAAUUUGCAGAGCAGCGAACGGGUGAGUAACGCGUGGGGAAUCUGCCUUUGAGCGGGGGACAACAUUUGGAAACGAAUGCUAAUACCGCAUAACAACUUUAAACAUAAGUUUUAAGUUUGAAAGAUGCAAUUGCAUCACUCAAAGAUGAUCCCGCGUUGUAUUAGCUAGUUGGUGAGGUAAAGGCUCACCAAGGCGAUGAUACAUAGCCGACCUGAGAGGGUGAUCGGCCACAUUGGGACUGAGACACGGCCCAAACUCCUACGGGAGGCAGCAGUAGGGAAGCUUCGGCAAUGGACGAAAGUCUGACCGAGCAACGCCGCGUGAGUGAAGAAGGUUUUCGGAUCGUAAAACUCUGUUGGUAGAGAAGAACGCUGGUGAGAGUGGAAAGCUCAUCAAGUGACGGUAACUACCCAGAAAGGGACGGCUAACUACGUG